AAAGGUUUUAAAAUAUCGUGUUAGUUUCUCGUGACGGAGAGAAAAGCUGACUGGCUGCUGCCGCUGCAACCGUCGAUCGAUCAACCGAAGCACUCGCGCGGGUAACGCAGCUGGUGACACACAGAGCAGCUACUGCAGAGGGAUGCGGAGUACCGGUAUAUUCCAGCAUCCAAACGCGCAGGAGCAGGCCGUAUCAAACCACGAGAUGAUGGAGGGUCGCGCUCUACGUACACCAAGGAUUUCAAGGGGAUGAGGUGUCGGGAAGAGGAGGGUGGUGCUGAGGGUGAAGAGACUGUGGAAAGAGGAUCUGCUUUACCGGCGGAACUCGCAUGAAGGCAUAUUCCCUCAAUAUUGUUCGUGUCAAAGGGCCAGCGAGGUUCAUUAUCGCGGAGUUGGUUCACGUCGGUCUACUUUCAUUUUAUGAAUUAUGUUUAUCAUAUAAUUGUUACAAUUCAACUCCCGAUUUUGAAGGGUGUACAAUUAGCCAACUGUCGCAUUAUAUUGUAAAAUUAGAGUCACUGAGAAAUUUAUAUACCCUGGUGGUCGUUAUGUACGUACUUAUAUAUUGAACCACAUGUCGUGGGGGGUAGUGUGUAAAAUUGAAUACCAAAAAAUAUUACUGCGGAUAGCGAUGGCUAUUGACGAACAAAAAAUUGUUUUCUGUAGGUACGGCACAGUGUGAAUCUUUGUAGACUGUAUACAGUACCAUAAUACACACUUGUGCAGAUCCUUAUAUAUUAUUCAUAGGAGAUACAUCUCUUUCAUCAUUUUUCCUUUUACUCGAGGUCCCUCGCGUUUCAGCGGGUGAGUGGCAGAUCGAUGUCAAAUCUCGCGAGGUUUUUCAGAACACUAAUCGUAUUCACAGAGGGCUAGGGGAUGCGAGAAAAAGGGGGUUUCCCUCGCUCUUCUCGUCUUAUUAUACAAAUAGCACCCCCUCUCGACAUCUGAAGAAAAAUUUUAAAUAGGCGUGGCGGAUUCGACAAUCGCGCCGUAACAAUUUCAAUGUGAAAAUUUCAAUCACUUCGAUCUUACGCUCUGAAAGAUUUAUGUUACGUACGAUUCAAUCGUCUCUUGUAUACAUAUGUACGUACGUACACACAUAAUGUGUGUAUCCUGUGCAAGAAAAUCUUUCACCUCAUCCUUCAUCUCCAUCCCCCCGUUCCUCGAGCAUCAUUCUCGAGGCAAAAUACAGCUUAUCCUAAGUCGAAGCGGAUGAAGCUAACCGCUGUCCCUCGGGAUGGCACAGUAAUAGUCCUUAAAUCAGUGUAAACCUUGCACGCCAGGGUAUGAAUACAGUACAGUGAAAGUCGGGUACGGUUUUGGAGGAAAGGGGAGGGCUGCAGGAGAAAGAGAAGGAGAGUUUGGCCCCCUGCUUUUUUCAACAGGAUCAACGCUUGCAUGUGUACAAGAAUUAUAUGUAUAACCGACGUCAACGUGAUGUGUACAGAGGUAGCUACUCUGGGUUGUAUGUACACAGAAUUUGGGACAAACGUGUUCGCAGGAGUAUGUGGCUUGUGACUAGGGGGACAUCCAGGAGAACAUGAGGAAAAGGAGGACGCGGAAGAGGAGGAGGAGCUGGUAGUGGUGUUUUUAAACCUUGUCGCAGUGGAAAAUCCAGUGUAUGAGCAUCAGCGCCACCAGCAGUAGCAGAAGCAGCAGCUCACAUUGAUUUUCGAGGGGGCUAAGGAACGCAGGGACGUUACUGCCGACGGAUGGAACCCUGCUACCUUAGAAUUUCCAUGAUAUUAUGCUAUAACUAUGUAUAUUCGCGUGGAUACUAUACCCGUAUGUUUACGCAGACAUACAGUUACAUCCUCAUCGAACGCGAUUUUUGAAAAAAAAAAAAGGACAGAAAAUCGAAUAUUAUAUCCUUCCAAAGACUGCAUUCGGGCAAUAUGGAGUGAUUUUAUAAAAUUAAGUGUAAUAAUGAUACUUUUUAUCUAUAGCAAAU